rnacentral:rRNA from 1 species
CAGGCGCUGCUAUAAUGCAGUCGAGCGGACUUGAUGGAGUGCUUGCACUCCUGAUGGUUAGCGGCGGACGGGUGAGUAACACGUAGGCAACCUGCCCUCAAGACUGGGAUAACUACCGGAAACGGUAGCUAAUACCGGAUAAUUUAUUUUGCAGCAUUGUGAAAUAAUGAAAGGCGGAGCAAUCUGUCACUUGAGGAUGGGCCUGCGGCGCAUUAGCUAGUUGGUGGGGUAACGGCCCACCAAGGCGACGAUGCGUAGCCGACCUGAGAGGGUGAACGGCCACACUGGGACUGAGACACGGCCCAGACUCCUACGGGAGGCAGCAGUAGGGAAUCUUCCGCAAUGGGCGAAAGCCUGACGGAGCAACGCCGCGUGAGUGAUGAAGGUUUUCGGAUCGUAAAGCUCUGUUGCCAAGGAAGAACGUCUUCUAGAGUAACUGCUAGGAGAGUGACGGUACUUGAGAAGAAAGCCCCGGCUAACUACGUGCCAGCAGCCGCGGUAAUACGUAGGGGGCAAGCGUUGUCCGGAAUUAUUGGGCGUAAAGCGCGCGCAGGCGGUUCUUUAAGUCUGGUGUUUAAACCCGAGGCUCAACUUCGGGUCGCACUGGAAACUGGGGAACUUGAGUGCAGAAGAGGAGAGUGGAAUUCCACGUGUAGCGGUGAAAUGCGUAGAUAUGUGGAGGAACACCAGUGGCGAAGGCGACUCUCUGGGCUGUAACUGACGCUGAGGCGCGAAGCGUGGGGGAGCAAACAAGGAUUAAAUACCCUGGUAGUCCACCGCGGAAAACAAUGAUUGCAGGUGUUGAGGGGUUUCG